rnacentral:rRNA from 1 species
UGGGGAAUAUUGCACAAUGGGCGCAAGCCUGAUGCAGCCAUGCCGCGUGUAUGAAGAAGGCCUUCGGGUUGUAAAGUACUUUCAGACGGGAGGAAGGUGGUAAGGUUAAUAACCUUGGCAAUUGACGUUACCGACAGAAGAAGCACCGGCUAACUCCGUGCCAGCAGCCGCGGUAAUACGGCGGGUGCAAGCGUUAAUCGGAAUUACUGGGCGUAAAGCGCACGCAGGCGGUUUGUUAAGUCAGAUGUGAAAUCCCCGGGCUCAACCUGGGAACUGCAUCUGAGACUGGCAAGCUUGAGUCUCGUAGAGGGGGGUAGAAUUCCAGGUGUAGCGGUGAAAUGCGUAGAGAUCUGGAGGAAUACCGGUGGCGAAGGCGGCCCCCUGGACGAAGACUGACGCUCAGGUGCGAAAGCGUGGGGAGCAAACAGG